rnacentral:rRNA from 1 species
ACAGAGGGUGCGAGCGUUAAUCGGAAUUACUGGGCGUAAAGCGCACGCAGGUGGCGACGUAAGUCGGGUGUGAAAGCCCCGGGCUCAACCUGGGAAUUGCAUUCGAGACUGUGUUGCUGGAGUACGGAAGAGGAGGGCGGAAUUCCCGGUGUAGCGGUGAAAUGCGUAGAUAUCUGGAGGAACACCGGUGGCGAAGGCGGCGUUCUGGACUGCAACUGACACUGAGGAACGAAAGCCAGGGUAGCAAACGGGA